UACGUAGGGUCCGAGCGUUGUUCGGAUUUAUUGGGCGUAAAGAGCUCGUAGGCGGUUUCGUAAGUCGGAUGUGAAAACUCAGGGCUCAACCCGGAGACGCCAUCCGAUACUGCGAUGACUGGAGUCUGGUAGGGGAUCACGGAAUACCUGGUGUAGCGGUGAAAUGCGCAGAUAUCAGGUGGAACACCGAUGGCGAAGGCAGUGAUCUGGGCCAGUACUGACGCUGAGGAGCGAAAGCGUGGGGAGCAAACAGG
rnacentral:rRNA from 1 species